GACGAACGCUGGCGGCGUGCUUAACACAUGCAAGUCGUACGGUAAGGCCCUUUCGGGGGUACACGAGUGGCGAACGGGUGAGUAACACGUGAGUAACCUGCCCACAACUUUGGGAUAACGCUAGGAAACUGGUGCUAAUACUGGAUAUGUGCUCCUGCUGCAUGGUGGGGGUUGGAAAGCUCCGGCGGUUGUGGAUGGACUCGCGGCCUAUCAGCUUGUUGGUGGGGUAGUGGCCUACCAAGGCGGCGACGGGUAGCCGGCCUGAGAGGGUGACCUGCCACAGUGGGACUGAGAUACGGCCCAGACUCCUACGGGAGGCAGCAGUGGGGAAGAUUGCACAAUGGGCGCAAGCCUGAUGCAGCAACGCCGCGUGCGGGAUGACGGCCUUCGGGUUGUAAACCGCUUUCAGCAGGGACGAAGCUUUUUGUGACGGUACCUGCAGAAGAAGCACCGGCUAACUACGUG
rnacentral:rRNA from 1 species